CCUACGGGAGGCAGCAGUGGGGAAUAUUGGACAAUGGGCGAAAGCCUGAUCCAGCAAUGCCGCGUGAGUGAUGAAGGCCUUAGGGUUGUAAAGCUCUUUUACCCGGGAAGAUAAUGACUGUACCGGGAGAAUAAGCCCCGGCUAACUCCGUGCCAGCAGCCGCGGUAAUACGGAGGGGGCUAGCGUUAUUCGGAAUUACUGGGCGUAAAGCGUACGUAGGCGGUGGUUCAAGUCAGAGGUGAAAGCCCGGAGCUCAACUCCGGAACUGCCUUUGAAACUAGAUCGCUAGAACAUCGGAGAGGUAAGUGGAAUUCCGAGUGUAGAGGUGAAAUUCGUAGAUAUUCGGAAGAACACCAGUGGCGAAGGCGGCUUACUGGACGAUUGUUGACGCUGAGGUACGAAAGCGUGGGGAGCAAACAGGAUUAGAUACCCUGGUAGUCCACGCCGUAAACGAUGAUAACUAGCUGUUGGGCCUCAUAGAGGCUCAGUGGCGCAGCUAACGCAUUAAGUUAUCCGCCUGGGGAGUACGGUCGCAAGAUUAAAACUCAAAUGAUAGACGCGNGAGACGNGCCGACGACGACGACGAGGGAGUAG
rnacentral:rRNA from 1 species